rnacentral:rRNA from 1 species
CCAAAAACCUAGCCACAAUCUCUCUGCUACUUCCUUCCCCAAAUUAAAAUAUUUUUCCAUUUAGUAAAGACGAUUAAAAAAUUAAUCAGAGCAAUAAAUCUGUACCGCAAGGGAAAGGUGAAAUAGUAAUGAAACACUCAUUAAGCACAAAACAGUAGAGACUAACCCUCNNNNNNNNNNNNNNNNNNNNNNACUAGUCUAACCAAGCAAAAGGAAUUACAGUUUGACUCCCCGAAACUAAGUGAGCUACUUUAAGACAGCUUAACGAGCGAACCCGUCUCUGUUGCAAAAGAGUGGGGAGAUCUUAAAGUAGGGGCGACAUACCUAACGAACUUAGCGAUAGCUGGUUAUUCAGGAAACGAAUUUUAGUUCAACCUAAAGUUAUUUAAAUUUUUAUAAAUAAAAUCUUAACUCUAGAGCUAAUCAAAUAAGUCAGAGCCUAUUUGAAACAGGACACAACCUCCGCCCGUGGGUAAUAAACUAUAUUCUUAACCAAGUUGGCCUAAAAGCAGCCACCUUUUUAAAAGCGUCAAAGCUUAAUUACUUAACACUUAACCAAUCCCUCAAACCCCCAAAGAACCCCUCAUUAGUACUGAAUGAUCUUAUACUUCUAUAAGACCCUUUAUGUUAAAACUAGUAACAAGAAGCUAACCCUCUCUUAUAUGUAAGCAUACGUCAGAACAGACAAUCUACUGACUCAUAACAGCCAUAAACUUUAGUGAUACCACCCCAAGAAAACCUUACUUAAACAACUGUUAACCCGACACAAGAACAUAAAAAGAAAGAUUACAAGAAAAAGAAGGAACUCGGCAAAUUUUGAUUCCGCCUGUUUACCAAAAACAUCGCCUCCUGCCUACAUAUAGGAGGUCCAGCCUGCCCAGUGACCUAGUUCAACGGCCGCGGUAUCCUAACCGUGCGAAGGUAGCGUAAUCACCUGUUUUUUAAUUAAAGACCUGUAUCAAAGGCAUCACGAGAAUCGCACUGUCUCCUUUCUCCAAUCAGUGAACCUAAUCUCCCCGUGAAAAAGCCGGGAUAAUUAUACAAGACGAGAAGACCCUUUGGAGCUUUAGAUAAAGUAAUAUAUUGCUUCCACUAUUUCCCACCUACAUAAAAUAGCAUCUAUCUUACAAUUCUUCGGUUGGGGCAACCGCGGAGCAUAAAACAACCUCCAAGCUGAAUGGAACUUUCCUUAACAAAAAGCCACAUCUUUAUGUAUCAACAAAUUGACAUUAUGACCCAAUAUUUUGAUUAUCGAACCAAGUUACCCUAGGGAUAACAGCGCAAUCUACUUCAAGAGCCCAUAUCGACAAGUAGGCUUACGACCUCG